GACGAACGCUGGCGGCGUGCUUAACACAUGCAAGUCGAACGGUAAGGCCCUUCGGGGUACACGAGUGGCGAACGGGUGAGUAACACGUGGGUGAUCUGCCCUGCACUUCGGGAUAAGCCUGGGAAACUGGGUCUAAUACCGGAUAGGACUCCGGACUGCAUGGUCUGGGGUGGAAAGCUUUUGCGGUGUGGGAUGGGCCCGCGGCCUAUCAGCUUGUUGGUGAGGUGAUGGCCUACCAAGGCGACGACGGGUAGCCGGCCUGAGAGGGUGACAGGCCACACUGGGACUGAGGUACGGCCCAGACUCCUACGGGAGGCAGCAGUGGGGAAUAUUGCACGAUGGGCGCAAGCCUGAUGCAGCGACGCCGCGUGAGGGAUGACGGCCUUCGGGUUGUAAACCUCUUUCAGCACAGACGAAGCGCAAGUGACGGUAUGUGCAGAAGAAGGACCGGCCAACUACGUGCCAGCAGCCGCCGCAG
rnacentral:rRNA from 1 species